rnacentral:rRNA from 1 species
UGAGUAACCUGCCCUUGACUCUGGGAUAAGCCUGGGAAACCGGGUCUAAUACUGGAUAUGACUGCCGGCCGCAUGGUCUGGUGGUGGAAAGCUUUAUUGCGGUUUUGGAUGGACUCGCGGCCUAUCAGCUUGUUGGCGGGGUAAUGGCCCACCAAGGCGACGACGGGUAGCCGGCCUGAGAGGGUGACCGGCCACACUGGGACUGAGACACGGCCCAGACCUCCGUACGGGAG